rnacentral:lncRNA from 1 species
GUAAGUUUAUUUUAUAGUCUAUGAAGAGCAGCUUUAAGUCUUGAAUUUUGUUAAAUGAGGUAGAAAGGAAGAUAAUUUUUAUUUUGAGACUUUUUUAAAACCUAGUCUGGCCCUUGAACUCACUGUGCAACUGAGGCUGGCCUUGAACUUAUGUAGUAUAAUCUAUCACAUUAUCCAUCAAAGAUUUGCAAAGUAAAAGUCAUUUGGCAAAACAGUCUUUUAUAAAUGCAUGAAAACCAUAUUUGAGAAGUGGUUGUAUUUUAAGUAAGCUACUGACAAAUGAGAAUUCUUGCAUAAUUAUUAAAAAGUUUUAUAAUGAGGGAGAACUAUAAAGAGAUGAUUUGAAUUUUUUUUUUAAAUCUAAAUUAAGAAAUGCCUUUGGAAAAGUGCUAAACUGUGAGAAUGUUAUUUUCAAGAAUGGUACUUUUGGGCUUAGGGGAAGAUGGCUUAGUGGAUAAAGUGCUUGGUUUACAAAAGUGAAGCCUGGACUUGGAGUCUCUGGCACAGAAUCUUAGACAAAUAUAGUGGCUUCCUAUAAUUGUAGCAGUUGGGAGGAAGGCAGAGGUUCUUUCUCUGAAAGCUGGCUAACAAACUGGGGAGUAGACCAGCUCCAUGUUCAGCAGGUGCCCUGCCUGGAGAACAUAAACUGGAGUACGGAGGAGGAAAAUUGAUGGUAGCCUCCUCACAGGUGUGCACACACAUGCAGCGGGACAUAUGCAGAAAUGUCUGCGUGAGUUAAUGCCAAGUGUAUUUUAAUUUAGCUGGAACUCAGACAUUAAGGGUUUAUUGUCAAGCUCUAGUUUGGAUAUGAGAAGAAUUAUGCCAUUUCUUUUUUUUCCCACUGGAAAAAAAUAGUUUAAAAAUAUAAUCCUUCCUUUAAGUUACUUUUUAAAAUGAAAAUAUAGCUUAACGUAAAAAUGUACAACUGGUACAUGGUAUAUAUAGCUCGAUGAAUUUAUAUUAAUGAUAUAAUUUCAUUCCUUUUUUUUUUUUUUCCCCAAUUUUGAGCCAGUUUCUUUAGCUGGGCUUGCCUAAAACUUACUUUGUACCCCAGGCUAUCCUCAGACUAUAUCUUCAUGCCUCUAUCUGUUUGAUCACGGGCAUGUUCCACUGUGUCUGGCAGUACCCUAAAACUUACUAAGACUACAAGUCAGGUAAACUUACUUUUAGACUUCUCUUUUGAAGGUAUAAUUUAAAACUUUUUUAUCUGUUUGUGAUUUUAAUUAUCUAAUGAAUUAUUCUUAAGUUAUAAUAAAAAGCAUGGUUUUUUAUUAUAGUUAAACAUGUUAAUUUUUAAGGAGUAAUUCUUAAAAGGGCUAGUUUACUCUGAAGUAGUAGUAAGAAAAAUCAUUUAACAUCUAAUAAAACUGUUACUCUGUUGAGUACUUUAAGCUUUUGCCAUUUUUUUUUUUGCAGUGUCCUUCUUUAAACAUACUCUUUAUGUUUACAUGUGUUGUGUGCUUGUUGAGAUCAAAGGAUAACCUGUAGGAGUCUAUUCUCUCUAUCAUGUAGGAUCCAGGGGUCAGGCUUGGUGCUGGCCACCUUUACUACAGCAUCAUCUAGCAAGUCAUACCUAUAAUGUUGAAGUACACAUUUAUGGUUGAAUUACGGGAAAAUAUUUAUAAAUUAGAAUUAAUAAUACCAAAGUACCCAAAAAGCUGAAGGGGUUAGCAGCCCCAUAGGAGGAACAACAAUAUGAACCAACCAGUAACCCCAGAGCUCUCAGGGACUAAACCACCAACCAAAGAGAACACAAGGAGGGACUCAAGGUUUUAGCCGCAUAUGUAGCAGAGGAUGGCCUAGUCGGUCAUCAGUGAGAGGAGAGGCCCUUGGUCUUGUGAAGGCUCAAUGCCCCAGUGUAGGGGAAUGUCAGGACCAGGAAGCAGGAGUGGGUGGGUUAGUGAGGGGGGGGAGGGUUCAGAGGGAAAUGAGG